AUAUAAUCCAUGUUGGUAUAGACCGAUGAUGUUGGAAAAUUAUGGGGCUGGAAGGUACUUGCGACAAAACUCAUGUCUGUAGCGCUGGUGAGCACUCAAAAAUAACAGAUUCAAUUACCUCUACUCCACAUAUAUUGCACUUUGUGUUACAUUGUAUACCUCAGGUUUGCAAACUCUUAGUAACUAGUAAGAUACCCGAUAUAAUCUACUAAACAAAGUGUCUUAAUUUUGGCAUGGCAGACAUUUUAGCUUCCAUUUGUAACCUAAAAGAGAUUUAGUCUGGUUCAUAAAACACCAAUCCAGUAUUAUUAUCUGGAAAAAUUUUCCUCUUAUAUCCCAAUUUAACUGAGUAUUUACCUGACACUGUAAAAUGCCACCCAUAGAAGUUUGGUCUAGAGAUGCGGCUUAUCGCCAAAUCCUUGAUGAUUUUUCAUCAUCCGGGUGUAUAUAUGUGUUAAGCAAAUCCAUAUUCCAAGAGAGAUCCCACUGAUUAAUAAGCCGUUUCACCUUUAGUGAAUGAUUUAAGAAUUGAGAUUGAUUUUUCUGUAUUGCUGGCCUUAACGAGAUGCAUGUAUCCAUGGAUCAUUCAAACUGAAAUGGACUUCUCUGUACAUCUAGUUUGAUGUUUGAGCUCAUUUUUUUGUAGAAUUUUCCUGAAUAAUCUAUGACUAUAAAGUUGAAGUAUCUGUCUUUUUAGGCUGUUCACGUCAUUCUGGAGAGGAAGGGAAAUCGUGACACGUCAGCGUUUCUUAAGUCGUUGUCUCUGGGUUCCAUUGUUUUGUUGGGCCUUACAGCAUGCAGCCCAUCACGUGUUUUAGAACAUAAUGGUGACUAAACGCCCCGUUUAGGAUUAGGUUUACGCGGAGUGCUUCUCGCGUCUCCAGAUCGAAAGGCGACACCUCUUGCGCAGCUGACCUUCCGUCUCCUUCGUCGCAAGCACUCAAAAACCGAUCAAUCAAUCAUCUUUAAUCCCCCCCCCUUCCAUUAAUCUAUCACCCACGAUCUGGAUUCAAUGCGAUAUUGUUGAUGUGCAAGGCGUUUGAGUCGACUAUAAAAAGAUUUCACGACAUCAUCUUUAUGCUACCCGAGAACUUGGACUGAGAUAGAAAAUAUUGAGCUUUGAUAUGCUUUAAGUUUUAGAUCUUUCAGCCUCAUGUCAUGUUCAUAUGUCUGAUUUUUUGAAAAAUUUGACUGAGUGGAAUAUGCAUUCUUCCGCAAAGGAUCGUGAAUAUGACUCAAAGAGACAGUCCAUGGACGAGAGCAAGCUCAAGAGAUGCUCCACUUCAUCCACCCAUGCUGAAGCAGCUGAUUAGGCGACAGAUCCUUUGCAAAAGGAGAACGUAGGUACAGAGCUUUUGGAGACUUUGGUUUAGUAUGGUUAAGAUGGACCUUGGAGAUGAAUAUAUUUUCUCGGUCCUAACUCCUUUUGGAUUCUUUCCUUUAGUACUUCAACAGCAGCUCUGUCAAUGGCAUCUUUAUAUGGAGAAAAAUCGCCUCUGUUGACUUAGAUUAGGGUCCUUCACCAAUCUACAAGCAGUUCCUUACGCCAGGCGGUGUAUUCACAACUAUAAAAGACGGGCGAUGUUCCUCCACCGUUGAGGUGCGACUGCUCAGAUUCUUGGCAGCAAGGAACGUCAAACUCGGUGGUGAGCUGAUGGCAUCGAUAUGCUUCUAUUCAUGAUUCUAAGAGACACAUAGCUGUUUCGACAAGGAGACUUAUGCAGGGGAAAGUUACUUUACAAGCUGGUCUCCAAAGACACUGGGAAUACAUCAGCAGCUUCACUUUUUAGAGGCUACGUAAAGGUUGAACGUUUGACCAUUGCUGAUCACAACGAGUUUAUCAUCACUACUCCAUCUCAGGAGAUUGAUUUCGUUUGCCUGCACCUGGAAGGUCAACGGCAUCGAGAUGGACAAAGGGUGGUGUUAAGUUUCUUGCUCCAAGUGUACCAAGAAACUUCAGUGGACUGUCUCAUCCUUUACCUGCGUGCACUGCAACAAUACUAAUGUUGUUGGUGUCCUCCGGUCUAUUUGAUGGUUUUGAUUGGGAAAUGACAAACUUACAUAACAUCAGUGCCUGUGAAGCUGGUUCUGUUGGUUGGAGAGUUUGUGAACCCAUAGGAAACUCAGGUCCCCCUCCCCAUUUUUUGCAGACAUGCAGCAAGCACCGACUACUGGAGCAGCUCCAAGUGGUGCCGACAAUAAGAAGCCUCCAGCUGGAGCAGCUUCCAAGAUGGCCAAGAAAGCAUGGAUGGCAUAGGUUAAGAUAAUAAGAGCUCUGGAUGCAGUAUUUCCUCUUUAAAUAACACAUCAGUGUUUCUUUACAAUUUUAGUUUUGUUUUCCCCCUCUGGAGCUACGUUUGGUUCGGACAAUCUUUAUAAAAUUUUAGUUCUUUUUUAAAACAAAAUCUGUCUAAGUUUAAAUUA